rnacentral:rRNA from 1 species
GCCCCAAAAGCUAGCCCACCUUCAAAAAUCAACAACCCCUAUCAAUCACCCCUGACCAACGACAAUAACUUUUAACAAACCAUUUUUCCGCCCCAGUAUGGGAGACAGAAAAG